UGGGAAUGACUUCUACAACGUAAUUACGAAUUCACUCAGUUUUAGAAUAUAUUUAGUAGUCUCAGAAUCGCUAAUUCAUACCCCCAUGAAAAGCAAAUUUACUACCUAAAGUACAGUACUUGGAUACAGGUCUUUUUGUCUUUACUCUUAUGGUAUUUAGUCAAAAUACUGUUUUCCAAAGUUGCUUACCCCUUUUCUUUCCUACCACUUAAGUGUGGUUAUGUUCACUGUAGUAUAGUUAAGCACAUUGGCUGUUCUUUGUAUUACAUUUUGGGUCCUCAAUUUCACCCCAUCCUUGCUGGUUUAUAUAUUUAUUUAAAAUAUAUAUUUAUAUGUUACAUAUAUAGUAGUAAACAUCCAUGAACACACCACCCAAUUAAGAAAGAGAAGAUUGCCAGUACUGCUGAAUUUAUCAAUGUGUUCCUCCUCCUCAACCCAACUCCCAGCCUCCAACCCCUAGAGGUAACAGUUAUAUUGACUUUUGUGUUAAUUGUAGCCCUGUUAUUUUAAAAAAUAAUUACAUAUGCAUGUAUCUGUAAGCAAUGUACUUAAAUUUUUUUUUUGAGCUUCAUAUAAAUGGCACCAUUGUGUGUAUAAGUCAUCUGGGACUCGCAUAAUUCAAUGUUAAGUUUCCAAAUUCAUUCUGUGUGUAGCUUCUGGGUAAUGUUCCAUUGUAAAAACUGUAUGAAAAUUUAUCGAUGUAUUUUCAAUGGACAUGUGGGUUGUUUUCAGUGUUUUGUUAUUAAAAUGUG
rnacentral:lncRNA from 1 species